rnacentral:rRNA from 1 species
GACGUAGGGCGCGAGCGUUUUUUUUUUGCCGGAUUUAUUUGGGGCGUAAAGAGCUCGUAGGCGGCUUUUGUCGCGUUCGACUGUGAAAUCCCGCGGCUCAACUGCGGGGUCUGCAGUCGAUACGGGGCAGGCUAGAGUUUUCGGUAGGGGGAGACUGGAAUUUUCCUGGUGUAGUGGUUGAAAUGCGCAGAUAUCAGGAGGGAACACC